rnacentral:rRNA from 2 species
UCAGGACUAUUACUUUGAAAAAAUUAGAGUGUUUAAAGCAGGCUAAUAACUGAAUACAUUAGCAUGGAAUAAUGAAAUAGGACGGCUUGGUUCUAUUUUAUUGGUUUCUAGGAUCACCGUAAUGAUUAAUAAGGAUAGUUGAGGGCAUUAGUAUUCAAUUGUCAGAGGUGAAAUUCUUGGAUUUAUUGAAGACUAACUACUGCGAAAGCAUUUGCCAAGGAUGUUUUCAUUGAUCAAGAAUGAAAGUUAGGGGAUCGAAGACGAUCAGAUACCGUCGUAGUCUUAACCAUAAACUAUGCCGACUAGGGAUCGGACGGUGUUAUUUUUGACCCGUUCGGCGCCUUACGGGAAAC